rnacentral:tRNA from 1 species
GGGGUUAUAGUUAAUAAUAACAUUUGAGUUGCAUUCAAAAAGCACUACUUAAAGUAGUUAGUCUCA